AGUUACUGUAACCACCUAGAUUGCAAGAAACCUUUCCUUUGUGGGCUAGCCAAGUGGGCAGGAGUAAAGCCUUUGAGGAAUCGCCACUGACUGAACUAAUUUACACUCCCACCAACAGGGUACAGAAAAGUGGUGAAAGUUCCUUACCAUAAUUCUGGCAUGUCAGCUCCCAACCACUCCACUGCCAAUCAUGAUAUGUUUGUCCUCAUUGGCGUUCCUGGCCUGAAGGAGCUGCACGUGUGGAUCUCCAUCCCCUUCUGUCUGAUGUACCUGGUGGCUGUGUCAGGAAAUGGUCUCCUUGUCUGUGUGGUGGCAGUGGAGCACAGUCUUCAUGAACCUAUGUACCUUUUCCUCUCCAUGCUGGCAUUUUGGGAUCUGAUUCUAUCCACAUCUGCAGUACCCAAAGCCUUGAGCAUUUUCUGGUUUGAUGAUGUGGACAUCUCCUUUGGUGGCUGUGUCACUCAGCUCUUUUUUAUGCAUUUUGCCUUUGUAGCGGAGUCAGGCAUUCUCUUGACCAUGGCUUUCGACCGCUAUGUGGCCAUCUGCUACCCAUUGAGGUAUAGCACCAUCCUUAGCCACAGUGUUAUUGGCAAAAUUGGGGGUGUCGUGGUGUUCAGGAGUUUUGCAACUGUCUUCUCCAUCGUCUUCCUUGUGAAGCGUCUGCCCUUCUGCCGGACAAACAUCAUUGCCCACACCUUCUGUGAACACAUGGGGCUGGCAAAGCUAGGUUGUUCUGAAAUCACCAUCAAUAUUUGGUAUGGAAUCUCUGUACCACUACUCAGUGUUACGUUAGAUAUGGUGACAAUAGUCAUCUCCUAGGGGCUCAUAGUUCAAGCAGUCUUCAGGCUGCCCUCCCUUGGUGCUUGGAUGAAAGCACUCAGCACCUGUGGUUCCCAUGGCAGUGUCAUCCUCAUGUUCUGCCUUCCAGGAAUUUUCACUGUCAUUGUUCAGCGCUUUGCCUGAAAAUUUCCCAAGUAUGUCCACAUCCUGCUGGCCAAUCUCUAUGUUCUUGUUCCCCCCAUGAUGAACCCAAUUAUCUAUGGAGUAAAGACUAAACAGAUUCAGAAAGGGGUUGCCCUUGUGUUUUCUCCAAAAGGAAAAUGUUGCUGA
rnacentral:lncRNA from 1 species